rnacentral:rRNA from 1 species
AUUGAACGCUGGCGGCAGGCCUAACACAUGCAAGUCGAACGGUAACAGGAAGCAGCUUGCUGCUUUGCUGACGAGUGGCGGACGGGUGAGUAAUGUCUGGGAAACUGCCCGAUGGAGGGGGAUAACUACUGGAAACGGUAGCUAAUACCGCAUAACGUCGCAAGACCAAAGAGGGGGACCUUAGGGCCUCUUGCCAUCGGAUGUGCCCAGAUGGGAUUAGCUAGUAGGUGGGGUAACGGCUCACCUAGGCGACGAUCCCUAGCUGGUCUGAGAGGAUGACCAGCCACACUGGAACUGAGACACGGUCCAGACUCCUACGGGAGGCAGCAGUGGGGAAUAUUGCACAAUGGGCGCAAGCCUGAUGCAGCCAUGCCGCGUGUAUGAAGAAGGCCUUCUGGUUGUAAAGUACUUUCAGCGGGGAGGAAGGGAGUAAAGUUAAUACCUUUGCUCAUUGACGUUACCCGCAGAAGAAGCACCGGCUAACUCCGUG